rnacentral:miRNA from 1 species
CCUGGGAACUUGUUAGAAAUGCAAAAUCUGAGGCACCAGCCCAGAUUUAGUGAAUCGGAAACUCUGGGAGUGGAGCCCAGCAAUCUGCAUUUUAGC